AGCACAGAGCAAUCUGUGUGACUGCGUACCUUUUGUAUAAUGGGUCAGCGACUUAUAUUCUGUAGCAAGGUUAACCGAAUAGGGGAGCCGAAGGGAAACCGAGUCUUAACUGGGCGUUAAGUUGCAGGGUAUAGACCCGAAACCCGGUGAUCUAGCCAUGGGCAGGUUGAAGGUUGGGUAACACUAACUGGAGGACCGAACCGACUAAUGUUGAAAAAUUAGCGGAUGACUUGUGGCUGGGGGUGAAAGGCCAAUCAAACCGGGAGAUAGCUGGUUCUCCCCGAAAGCUAUUUAGGUAGCGCCUCGUGAAUUCAUCUCCGGGGGUAGAGCACUGUUUCGGCAAGGGGGUCAUCCCGACUUACCAACCCGAUGCAAACUGCGAAUACCGGAGAAUGUUAUCACGGGAGACACACGGCGGGUGCUAACGUCCGUCGUGAAGAGGGAAACAACCCAGACCGCCAGCUAAGGUCCCAAAGUCAUGGUUAAGUGGGAAACGAUGUGGGAAGGCCCAGACAGCCAGGAUGUUGGCUUAGAAGCAGCCAUCAUUUAAAGAAAGCGUAAUAGCUCACUGGUCGAGUCGGCCUGCGCGGAAGAUGUAACGGGGCUAAACCAUGCACCGAAGCUGCGGCAGCGACACUGUGUGUUGUUGGGUAGGGGAGCGU
rnacentral:rRNA from 1 species